CUUUCACUAAUCCUUCACAUCUCAUAAACUGAGGUAUAUAGUCUCUAUUUAAAUAAUGAGAUUCAUCCUUACAUAAUUCAAAUCGAAUUCUUCAUCAUGGUUUCUAGAAAGAUAUCUGUCUUUGCAUAAUUUAGAUAUGAUUCCUCUUUUUAAUGUAAAUAAGAUCAUAUCUCUAAAAAAGACUAAUAUAAAUAGUCAUGA
rnacentral:lncRNA from 1 species